rnacentral:lncRNA from 1 species
GGCAUUACAUAGAUACUAUAGCAUGAGAUAAAAAUAAACUAAACAGAUCUCACCGUCCAUCCAAACUUACCUUAAAUAUUCAUACAUCAAAAUAAUAUAAUAAAAAAGAAUGUUCCCUCAAUGUUCCAUCUCAUCAUGACUUAUUUUGCAUCUAAACGGAGCCCUUUUUCGACUUUCGGCCUUUUUCGAUAGCCCUUUUUUUUUACUUUCGCCGAACCUCAAUUUUUUGUGUUUAGGGUACACACCUGGUACAAUUUUGAUGCGAAAAUACUCUCGAGACCACCAGAACCUAAAAAUCAACAUUACAAGCUCCAAAAAUCAGUCUUACUCCUCAAUUAAACCGAACUAACAAAAUCAAAAAUAGUGAAGUUCAAGUGUUCCACACUUACCAAAUUCCUCAAGCAAUUCU